rnacentral:rRNA from 1 species
UACGAACUGAUGAGAGUGGCGCACGGGUGCGUAACGCGUGAGCAACCUACCCAUAUCAGGGGGAUAGCCUCUCGAAAGAGAGAUUAACACCGCAUAACAUCAUCUACCGGCAUCGGUUGAUGAUCAAAUAUUUAUAGGAUAUGGAUGGGCUCGCGUGACAUUAGCUAGUUGGAGGGGUAACGGCCCACCAAGGCUACGAUGUCUAGGGGCUCUGAGAGGAGAAUCCCCCACACUGGUACUGAGACACGGACCAGACUCCUACGGGAGGCAGCAGUAAGGAAUAUUGGUCAAUGGAGGGAACUCUGAACCAGCCAUGCCGCGUGCAGGAUGACUGCCCUAUGGGUUGUAAACUGCUUUUGUCAGGGAAUAAACCUUUCUACGUGUAGGAAGCUGAAUGUACCUGAAGAAUAAGGAUCGGCUAACUCCGUGCCAGCAGCCGCGGUAAUACGGAGGAUCCAAGCGUUAUCCGGAUUUAUUGGGUUUAAAGGGUGCGUAGGCGGUCCUAUAAGUCAGUGGUGAAAGACGGCAGCUUAACUGUCGCAGUGCCUUUGAUACUGUAGGACUUGAAUCUAUUUGAAGUGGGCGGAAUAAGACAAGUAGCGGUGAAAUGCAUAGAUAUGUCUUAGAACUCCGAUUGCGAAGGCAGCUCACUAAGUUAGUAUUGACGCUGAUGCACGAAAGCGUGGGGAUCAAACAGGAUUAGAUACCCUGGUAGUCCACGCCCUAAACGAUGAUAACUCGAUGUUUGCGAUACACAGUAAGCGUCCAAGCGAAAGCGUUAAGUUAUCCACCUGGGGGAGUACGGUCGCAAGAUUGAAACUCAAAGGAAUUGACGGGGGCCCGCACAAGCGGAGGAGCAUGUGGUUUAAUUCGAUGAUACGCGAGGAACCUUACCCGGGCUUGAAAGUUAGUGAAUGAUCCAGAGACGGAUCAGUCCUUCGGGACACGAAACUAGGUGCUUGCAUGGCUGUCGUCAGCUCGUGCCGUGAGGGGGGUUGGGGUUAAGUCCCGCAACGAAGCGCAACCCCUAAUGUUUAGUUGCCAGCAUGUUAAUGGGUGGGGACUCUAAACAGACUGCCACCGUAACCUUUUGAGGAAAAGGUGGGGGACAAACGUCAAGUCAUCAUGGGCCCUUACGUCCGGGGGUACA